AGUGAACGCUGGCGGUAGGCCUAACACAUGCAAGUCGAACGGCAGCACAGUAAGAGCUUGCUCUUACGGGUGGCGAGUGGCGGACGGGUGAGGAAUACAUCGGGAUCUACUUUUUCGUGGGGGAUCACGUAGGGAAACUUACGCUAAUACCACAUACUACCUACGGGUGAAAGCAGGGGAUCUUCGGACCUUGCGCGGUUGAAUGAUCCGAUGUCGGAUUAACUAGUUGGCGGGGUAAAGGCCCACCAAGGCGACGAUCCGUAGCUGGUCUGAGAGGAUGAUCAGCCACACUGGAACUGAGACACGGUCCAGACUCCUACGGGAGGCAGCAGUGGGGAAUAUUGGACAAUGGGCGCAAGCCUGAUCCAGCCAUACCGCGUGGGUGAAGAAGGCCUUCGGGUUGUAAAGCCCUUUUGUUGGGAAAGAAAAGCAGCAGGUUAAUACCCCGCUGUUCUGACGGUACCCAAAGAAUAAGCACCGGCUAACUUCGUG
rnacentral:rRNA from 1 species